UUCAGAAAAUUUUUCACUCUGUCUUGCUCUUCUGGGUGUUGGUCACUUUUUGCUCGCAACUUGGCUGUGUUUCACCAACCAUCCUCAUGUUGCAUAUGGUUCUUCUCUUUCCAUCGUUCGAGAGAAACUCUUGUGUCUCGCUUUUCUGGGACUUGUCCAAUUUCGCUUGCUACACCAAGCGUUCACGCAAGCGAUCUUCUCUCGUCCGCUCUUUGUAUCAUCUUGCAGGUACUCCCCGAUAUACGCUAUUAAUGCGGACCGGCAAUAGCGUAUCUCGAAUAUUAGCAAACGUCGAGUUUUCAGUCAAAUUAUAGCUAAUUUUCGUAUAAUUUUGCUUGAAGUGGUAGGAUUAACCACUUAAUUAGUUAUUUGAUCUGAUUCAACUGAAGAUUACAAUUGUACCCCUUUUGAAAUGGCUUUUAAUAUUCGAUCAAAAGGGAAUUUAUUUUGAAUUUGAUAUUCGAUGUGUCAAAUUAGUACAAUUUGCUCAAAGAACUUUCAAAUUUAGAAAAAAAGCUUAUAGCGAAAUCGCGUAUAUCGAGUAUGGCGUAUAUCGGGGAAUACCUGUAUAGCCACCAGAGGAAGGCGCUGCUUCGCGUUCACAUGAAAAUGUGGUAGUGUGAAAUCAAGUUUGCAAGCGGUAGGCUACGUCGAUGCGUGCCCGUUUUUUUCUCUCGUGAAACCAGUACGGAAAAACUAUUUGCAAAUCGUAACACACGCACAAACGGAAGUGAGCACGGACCACGAUAGAAAUAAUUAAUUGGUUGCAGUGCCAAAAACAAAAGGACAGGAGAGGCAGGAACGAUCAUUCAACGCGUUAGCGCCGGACGAAGGAGAAGCGGCAGGAAGGCAGGAACGAUCCUCCAA